UAAAAAUAUACCAAGGUUAGGCCGUUAGUGGCUCCUGGUAUAUUAUUUUGGCUGAAGUUCCUCCAUUACCCAAGAUAACAAUCGUUGGGGAAUGUGAUUUCUAAAGAUAGUCAUGGAUGGCAUCAGUUGUAAAGCAACUAGAAAACAGGCGGAGUUCCUCAGUGAGCUAUGAAGAAUGAAAGGGAGCCUGGGGGGAGCUUUUCCAGGUUUUAGAAAUGGCCCCUGGUUUCCUCUACUUGUUUUCGAAAAAAUUUCAUAUUUUAAAUUAAGUCAGUCAAUCCUAUCACAUGGAUCAUAUUGACAACAUGAUAGGGGUUUCAUUGUGAAUUCUGUUGUUGAUAACUGGAAUUUUGAAAUUAUUCGAACCACGGCAAGAUGCAAGAGAAGAAGUUGUAUCUGAGAAUCA
rnacentral:lncRNA from 1 species